rnacentral:rRNA from 1 species
GACGAACGCUGGCGGCGUGCUUAACACAUGCAAGUCGAGCGGUAAGGCCUUUCGGGGUACUCGAGCGGCGAACGGGUGAGUAACACGUGGGUGAUCUGCCCUGCACUUCGGGAUAAGCCUGGGAAACUGGGUCUAAUACCGGAUAUGACCUCCUAUCGCAUGGUGGGUGGUGGAAAGAUUUAUCGGUGCAGGAUGGGCCCGCGGCCUAUCAGCUUGUUGGUGGGGUAAUGGCCUACCAAGGCGACGACGGGUAGCCGACCUGAGAGGGUGACCGGCCACACUGGGACUGAGAAACGGCCCAGACUCCUACGGGAGGCAGAAGUGGGGAAUAUUGCACAAUGGGCGAAAGCCUGAUGCAGCGACGCCGCGUGAGGGAUGACGGCCUUCGGGUUGUAAACCUCUUUCAGCAGGGACGAAGCGCAAGUGACGGUACCUGCAGAAGAAGCACCGGCUAACUACGUG